rnacentral:misc_RNA from 1 species
GAAAUGCGAUAAGUAAUGUGAAUUGCAGAAUUCCGUAAAUCAUCGAAUCUUUGAACGCACAUUGCGCCCUCUGGCAUUCCGGGGGGCAUGCCUGUCCGAGCGUCAUUACGCACCCUCAAGCCCGGCUUGUGUGAUGGGCCCCGGCGUUUCGUUCGCGAGACGGGCCCGAAAGGCAGCGGCGGCGUCGACCCGAUGAGCCCGAGCGUAUGGGGACUUCUGUCACACGUUCGCGGUGCAGACCGGCGCCUGCUUGACUUUUCUGAUUAUCCAGGUUGACCUCGGAUCAGGUAGGGAUACCCGCUGAACUUAAGC